UUGGUGAUGCGGUGAAAACCUAGCCCAAUCCCCUCCCGUCCCAAAGCCCCAAUCGCCUCCCAGCCUCGAACCCCGCGUCGCCGCGACCUCCAUCCCCCCCGCGGUCCGCCUCAUCUCCUCUCCCUCUAAUCUCGUCGCGCCGCCGCCUUUUCCUCUCUCCAUCCCCGUCCCUGCCACGAGCCCCUCCCCUUCCCCGUCCCGACGGCCUCAUCCUCUGCUGCUCUCCUUGUUGGGUGUUGCUCCAGAUCGCGGGAGACGAUCUGCAGCCGGGUCUGCGCAGUUGAGGUGAGGAACGGAAGUGGGGGAAGGAGUAGCGAUGCUGGUGUCAGGGGACGGAGGUGAGGGAAGGAGCAGCAAGGGGCCACCUCAUGCCCCGUAGUCCGCUCCUCCUUGUCAGCGCCAUCGCAACUCCAGCAACGACAGUUCAUCUCCAUGGUCCUCCUCCUCCUGUUUCUUUCCUUCCACACUAAUCAGCUCAUUUUUCUUGUUCAUACCUGUAGCCUGUAGGCCAUACAUGCCCAUUUUUCUUCUCUGUACUUUUUCUUGUUUAUACCUGUAGAAAAAAUUGUGGCAGUGAUGAUUGAUCUAAGUUACCUCUGGAGAUGUAGGUAGUAGUCUUCUCUGCACUCUCAUGUUUCAUAAUUUACCCCCUUGGACACUCUCACCGAUGGUUCUAGAUGCUAUUUGCCUGAUGAAUUGGUUCGCAUAUAAUGUUUAACAAGAUGCAUCUUCUCCCCUGCUUUUUUUUGCUGCAGGACUUUAUUCCUUGCACUCUUGAGUCUUUUGAGAAGGAGAAAAUUAUUGUUGGGAGGCAAAAAGACUGAUGAUGAGUUCCUGAAACAGAGUGCAACAGUGAAGAACAAGAGGCCUUUUUUAUUGAUGAGUCGGUCGAAUAGACUGUAGAUGAUUGCCAAAAAGUGGUUAUCGAAGGAUUGGAGUCAAGCUUAGGAUCAGUCUAUCCUAUGGGCCUAUACUACAAUGUUUAUUUGGCUUGUUAGAAUACAUGUAGAAUGAGGUAUUUCUCUCGUUACUUAUUUUGCUAUAGAACCCUGUUGGUUGCAUUCUUGGGUGCUUCGGCAAGCAGCAAUUGCACAAGUUGAUUGUGGUUACUACUUUUGAUUAUAAUUUGCAAGCAGUCCUGUGAGGCCAUUGUGGCAUGUGCUUAGACUUCUAUUGAUGUGUAGUGCAUCAACCGACAUAGGAGAAAUCAGGUUCAUAGAUGGGUGCUUUAUGCUGGGGUGAAAGAGUUUUAGGCCGUUGAUUUCCCAAUGAAGGAGCUUCGAGACAAGCGCUGCAAUUAUGUAGUUUUGUAUAUGACAUAAUCUGUACGAACCCUCUCCUUGUUUCUUUUUGCUCUUGGUUUUGCCCCUGUUGAUUAAUGAUGCUACCAAUUAUUCUAGCUAUUUUCAUUGUACCAUGUGCCUAUGAGAUCUGCACAGACAGAAUUCGUGCUGAUUUAUUUAGUGGUGGCACAUAUGACAGCUACAACAGCCUGGUAAUUAGUCCUCAAAUAAGGUAGUUUCCCUCUUCCCUUUACAUAUCAUGGAUAUAUGUGGUGGUUCCUUGCCAUUGCUGAAGGGAGGACUCUAAAUGUAUUUUUGUGUUAUCCCUGAUUAUGUUAAUCAGGCCGUGUAUGUUCUGUUGGUCUAUUUUGAAUUUUCGUUUGUCAACUUUUACAGAAUUUCAAAGAUGUAAUUUUCUCUCAUGUAGUAGCCUCAUUUUUCAUAUAUAUACAAUAGUCUAUUUUCCUUUCUGCAAAUUAGACCAAUAGUCUAUUUUAGUCAACUUAAGGGUAUGUUGAAUAUGACAAUUAAUGAAGAUGGCCAUUCUUGCUGUCGAAAGUACAGAAUCUGACUCAUUUUAAAGUAGUACGUUCUCUUUAUGACAAGACUAAGCUUCUAAUUUAGCAAGUGUUUUACUUCAACACAAAUUGCUGCAGGAAAGAAAGCAUUUUUUUGCAACAAAGCAAGCAUUAAACGAGCUGAAGUGUCUGGAGCAGAAGAGCUUGAAUUUUUUGCAAACGUAAAUUUAAGGUAUUUAAAUGGUGGAGAUUUGUGAAAUCUGCAGACCAUUGUAUAUGUCUCAACGUAGGCCCAACCCAGUUUCCAUAUUUUAAAGGAGGCUGCACCACCAAUACCUCCGACAGAACAGCUAGCAGCGACCACAACAGUCCACAGAAGCAUCACUAGCUGUGACCCUCGAUAUACCUGAUGCCCUCUAUGCCUCUCCAUCCCUUUCGGCUGCUUGGUUGCGAGAAAGUACAUUCUCUGCCUUCAUUCACGUAUGUUGCUGACAAGGAUCGGAAAUCUCUGUUCCCCUCGAGGACUGAAAAUUGUCGAAACAGUCAAUUAUAUGGUGUUGAAUUAUUGAAUACUACCAAUUUAUUUGUUAAUGGCCAGUAGAAAAAGGAAGGCAACUUAUUUUUCAAAACUGAUGAGCAAUGAGUGCACUCUACAAGAUUUUCAUGGCAACAAACAUGAUAGACAUCUUGGAUCGGGCCCUUCUUAGACGACUCAUGAUAAGGUGCAUUAAUUAUGGAUGCCGUGCAAUCAGCAGCCUAAUACAAGGAGGACCCCAUGAAGCAAAGGGGAGAGGACAAUGAUAUGCUCACAUGGGAUCCCUUUCCUUCAGUGUAUUAAACGACAGGAUAAUGACUACCUGAUAGUGAUUCCUUAUGCCCACAUAUUUGACCUUAUGCUAAAAGCUUUAAAGUUGCCCCCUGCAACUUACCAUCACAAGAUAUGCUCAGGCGGCGAGAAUCAUGUGACAGUUACUUUCAUUUCUUCCUUGCAAUUACUAGAUGGUUUGCUUGUUCCAAGCUCAAUAUCGGGUGCAAUUUUAGAUGGCUAUGAAGAUGCAGAAGACAGUGCUGCUAUCGAAGCUAUUAGAUACAUGGAAAAUGCAUAUGGCAGAGAAAUGAGAGACUACCACUACACCCAUGUCAAGAGGCUAGAAAAUCAAGUGAAGCACCUGGUCACAUGGUUGGUUGGUUGCAGCGAAUGAGACAAUCAAGCUGCGCAAAGGAUGCUACCACGCUGUCCGGUAUAUGAGCUCAUAUUCUACCCAAAUACAAAACACAACGACUACUCGGCACCUGAGAGGACAUGAUAACACCAGGGGGGUUAUGAAAGCAGCACUUGCAAGCAUUGAAAAACGGACACAAAGGCUACGUUAUAUUGUUAUGAAGUCCGAGCAGCGCCUGGAGACCACAAGAAAUAGUGUCUGGUAAAUUCAAUCAAUGUGUCAUAACCAGCACGCUUCUGUGGUUACUAAAACAGCCACCUUUUAUUUCGUAUCGAUCAAACCAGCACCUUUCCCAUUUUGGAGUACUCUGAGCAAGAUAUGUAUAGCCUUUAGUCUUCCAUUGCUGCCUCUAUGGUGAAAAGUAGUGAAUGGUGCAGUCUAUAAACUUUAGAUUUCGUUAUCUCUGUGGUCAAGAGCAGUUUAUCAUCACUUAUUAUAUAUGUAUAGGAUUGCUAUUCUACUGUUAUUUCCAGAACACUAUAAUUAAAGAAACAACCUCUCCUUCUAUGCACACUUUCACUUCAAUGCUUUGAUUAAAGAUUUUCUGUAAUCAUGUCUUGUGAUCACAGUAUGUGCAAAGAAAAAUAAGAACAAUUACGUUGCUGCUUAUUUUGCAAGGGAUCUUCAACUAAAAGUAUCUAAAAAGGUCAAACUCCAUUCAAUUCUUUAUUUUCUUUUCAAGGAAAUACCUUUUCCAUAUAAAAGGAAAAAAGUUUUCGUGUCAAUGCAUACUUAUAAUAUUCACUUGCUGGAUUUCAUAAGCAUAUUUCUCUUUUUAAAAGGCAUGAAAAAAAUUUAGCUCAUACCCACAUAUCUAUUUGUUUACGCUAUACAAAAUAUACAGAGUAAAAAUUGAUGCAGUCUGAUUUUUUUAUGCACACUCUUUCAAUACUUGGCUUCCUAUCGCCCUUUGCGCCAUGGGCGCAACGAGUCAUCUAGUGAAGAAUAAAGCAUGAGAGACUGGAUAUCUCUGUUGUCAGUUUGGUUUACAUCUCCGGCCAUGUUGGUCAACUGAAAUACACUCCAGCCAUAAGCUUGCUACUCAGUUGAGAUUAUGAGCACUGUACUGAGCCUAAGAUAAAGAAGGAACCUUGAACAGAGUUUGCUUUCAAGAUAUCGGGAUAACAAAAAGCUCAAUCCACUUAGUAUAGCGGAGUAACACUCAAGGUUAUGUCAGCUACAGUAUUAGCAAACUAAAGUCUGAAUCAUCAAUGCCAAUUGAAGAUCACAUUUGUUCGCAUUCCAAAGUCAGAGUGCAUCAAAUCAGUAUAAAAAGAAUCCAAUGCAUCCUUGCAAAUCUCUAGUGCAUAAUCACAAGUGAAAAAGGACAAACUAUUUAGUAACACAAGGGUGGUGCAAACUCAAAUCUGAAUCAUUAUCAAUGGCAAUUGAAUCGAACUCAUCUCUACUUCUGGUCCUCUGCUGCCGCCCCUGAACUGCUGAUUCUGCUCUCUGUUGCUUCCCUCGGCUGCUGUACCUCUCCUUCUCCAAUGAACUGCUGCUCCUAAUCUUCUCUGAACCCAAACUGUUGCUGCUUCGCUUCCUCUCUAAACCUCAUAACAAAAUUUAGAAAGCUUAGAGUGCACCAUAGCAAAAAUGCAGGUCUCGACAUAGGGUAAUAAAAUUCUGAUCUUGGGAUCUUUAGAUGAAGUACCUGCGAUCAAUUCCAUGUGUGCAACACUCCAACUACUAAAAGAGUCAGGUUCGAAGCUAGGGCCUCUUGGUAAGAGCUGAGGGAUUCUACACCAACCAAACAACAAAGCACAAGAAGACCAUGAUGUAUCAAGUCCUAGAAAAUUGAGUAUUAGUUGCAUUUUUACUCAAAAACAUUUUCAACUACUAUUAGAUGCUCCAAUCUAUAUGUGCAUGUCUAAAAAUUCUAGGCUGCAAAACCAAAGAAAACGGGAAAGAUCAAGACACACAAUUGUUCCAUUGCAUGAGAAGGUAAGCUGAUCUUUACAACAUUCUAUAUAUCUUAUAUCUUUGUGAGACCCACGGACUCAGUGCAGAAAACUCUUCUAAUGGAUAUUUAUACUAUUGCUGCUAAUGUUGGUCCUUUCAGCCUCAAAUUACUGCUCCAGUUUAGACAGGAAGCCCCAUUGUUCAGUAUAGAUGGCAGUUUAUAUGUGUUUUUAAAAGCAAGAGCACCACCUCAUGCUAUGGAAACCUAAAGAGCAGACAAAAAAAAUGCCCAUUUACAUAAUCUAACAAACUUUAAGCUAGUAGUCAUGUGACCACAAGUUUAUUACUAUGGACAUUUGCAUUUGUCUACUUGUUGUAUAAUCAUAUAAUGGGCAAGCACAAGUUCCAGUAUAUAGGAUAGCAUACGUACACAUAAAUGUAGACCAAAUUUCAUCGGCUAGAAUUGUGAACCGAAUUAAUUAGAAGAAUACAAACGGACCAUAUCCCCACAGAAUAAGAGAUGGCCAACUGCUCACACGACAAAUAGAUAAACUUGUUCAGCAGCCUCCCCAGCGCUAGGCAACGACACCGGCAGCCUCCCCAACACUCUAUCACUGCACGAGCUGCCAUUACCCCUUGUCUAUAUCUCGAUCUUGAUCUGGAAAAAUAACAGUGAGAAAAGAAUUAUUUACCUGAUACAAAAAAUAUAAUUCUCUGGUGCAUUAAAAGAAACUAUUGUGGCAAUCAUUAAACAUGCAACAGGAGUUUAAUUAUAGGAACCGCAUAUAGUCAUGGGUAAAUCUCAAAGCAUCUUUGCUCGAUAUUCUCUUUAUAUGAUCUGCCAAAAUUAGGUGUGCCAUUAUGCUUGGCAAACUCAACAAUUCACUUGCUAUAGUUCCUUCGUACUAUAUUUGGCAACCUAAAAAUAAUGUGUAGGGGAGGGCAUAAGUGUAUGUCAAAGGAUCAUAACCCAAAGUAUGUUUAGUAAAUUACCACAAAAAAGCACAAACUUGAGUGUGCAAAAGAAUUGUUAGCAAUUGGGAUGGGCAUCGAUGAAGAACAUUUCUGAUCUACAAUUUGAUCACCGGUAAACUUGCUCUUUUUAGAAGAAAAAAAAUGGUCAGGAGAAAUCACAAAUUAGUUCCAGCUCCCUCCAUACUUCUUAUAUAAAUACAACCAAAAAGCAGUGAUAAAAACUUCCCCAACAUCAAUACUCUGAAAACAAAUAUGCCAAAGAUGGGUUUUACCUUCCCUGGAAGUUUAUAGUACUCCAAAGCUUCAGCCAACCGUUGUUAACGGAGGGGAAUGCAUAUAUAUGCAGGCAACCACAACCUGCUCUCGCGACCCGUCCUCUUGGACCUUGCCGCCCCGUCCCAGUGCCUCCAUCUAUCUGCAACACACACACACCUUGUUGCCCCGUCCCAGUGCCUCCAUCUAUCUACAACACACACCCAGCCUACGUUGCGCGGAUACUUCAAAAAGUGCGCGUAUCCAGCCGGAUACUGCCCCGAUACUCGGAUACUGCCCCGAUACUUUUCGAUACGUAUCCCGUAAGUAUCCCUCGAUAUUUUGAUAUUAAAAAAAGAAAAUAAUGUUUGAUACUCCUAGGAUACUUCUGCGAUGCGUUUUGGAUACUUGAACCCCUCGUUUGACGUGAAAUCCCCUCAAUAAUAAAGGCGCCUUUGAAGAUUCCCAACAUGGGCGUGAGUUUAUGUGAAAACAUGUCUGUCAAUAUUUUUUAUUCAAUUGAAAGGUGAGCAAGAAAGAGUCGAUGCAUUGAUUGAAACAGCAAACCUGGUCAAAUCUCACGGCCAAUUAAUAAAAGUGGACUAAGUGCAAGAAAAUAAAGGGGUAAUCUUAUUGAGGUAUGCUUUGACCUAGAAGCUCCUUAAAUUUUUUUCUUCAUAUUUAUAAUAAUUAAUAUUUAACAUCUAUAUAUAAACGUAUCCCCGUAUCCAUGUUUUUAGAGAAUUGACGUAUCGGGCGUAUCCCCGUAUCGCGUAUCCAAUACGUAUCCAAGUAUCCGUGUAACGUAGCACCCAGCCGACUUCACCCAGGCCUACCCCUGUCUGCGAUGGGCCUGUGCCUCCAGCGUCCGCCGUGGCCUGUAGCUCGUCCGUCGUGCGCUAAAACCUGAAUCCAGGUUGUACGUUGUCCCAAUCCAAUCUCUCCUUUUUCCUUUCUCAUCAUCCGAUCUUUUUUCCUCGAGGUGUGUCAUUGUAGACGCAGACUUUUUUCAGUUCUAUUUAAUCGGCCAUAGGCGCAACUCUUUGUCACCCGAGUUGUGUAGUCUCUCCUUUAAUUCCUUCCUGCAUAUAUUUAUGUCAAUGUGCUUACGUCCGUUCUCUCAUCAAAUGCCCGUGUGUUGCAACGGGAGAGCACCGGUUCCUAUGAAGCACGGUUGGUCGAGUUGAGAAACUGUGUCAUAGGACAAAAAAAGCAAAUAAACUAUCCUUCCACUACACAAUGAUAAAAGAAAAUAACUUACUGUGCAAAUGGCUCAAGUCAGUUAAUUAGGAACUUCUUCAUAUUAACCAACUCUUCACGUGCAGCAACAGCCAUCAUCUCAAAUAUGCUGAGGCUUGUCUAUAAAGGCAAGAACAAAAUCAAGUUUAGGAACAUCAAAAAUUAAUUAGAAUGAGAGCAGUACGUUGAUGGCAUGUGGCAAGCACAAAAUAUUCAGUCUCAUUCUUGUAGGGAACAAUCAAAUGCAGCACUGUGGCCACCUUUAUGACUAACUUUUGUGGGAUUAAAAGAGCUACAUCUGUAGACAUUCAACAGUUAUUGGCUUCAUUCUUACCCUAAUUCUUAGGACAUAUUUGUGUUUACAACAACAUUCAGGUCAGGUAACAAAGACUAACUCCCAUGGUUACAUGCUUGAGGUGAUGCUAUCAUUCUGUCAGUAUAAUAGUAGAAAUCCUCAUAUCCUCUUGCAAUCUGUAUGUACAUGUUUAUGUUUUUUCUACCAAGAGAAAACUAUUAUGGACAUGAAACAUAAUCAAAUCAGGUUGAUUUCUAUUUACAUAAAGAAUCCCAUUUAUAUGGUCUAUCUGUACAAUUAUAUGGCUAAUGGUUAGAACGAAUGAAUUUAUUUUGGGGAACAAGAGAACGGAUGAUUUGAAGUGUAUGUGCUCCACCACUAUGGUGAGGAUACACAUAUUGCUUAUUGUGCAGGAUAAUAGAAACAUGCAGAACGUCUUGCCUCAGAUUUGCAGGAGUACUACUGGACCAGAUCUUAUCAGUUCAAGGAACAAAUUGGAGUGGUGCGCAAUAAUACUUUUCUUAAAGAACUUACUUUGCAUGUAAACUAAUCUCUAACACAAACACAUCUUCAGAGCCACCCAAUAGCUCAGCCAACUUCGAUCUAGACCCCAACUGUAUCAUACAGGAAAACAAAGUUGACUAAACCACACAAGAAGAAAGGAUUCCAAUAUGAUGAAUCCGGUGAUGGAGCACCUUUUGGUCCCUGCAGCAAAGUUGGAUGCCACGAGGGAGAGGAUAUGCCGAGCGUCAGGUGGCUAGCAUGACAAUGUUCCCAAUAUUUUUUCCUGGACACUAAAAAACUAAAAACAGUUGGAUUCAAGGGCAAGCCUACACGAUCCUUUAAUUCUCCACAAAACAAAAAAAUGUAAACAUAAAAAAACCAUACAACUUUACAUGUUUUGCCUUUUUUUUCUCAAGAUGGAAAAUCAUAAUACAGAAGGAGAUAGGCCAAAAGAUUGACUAAAUGAAUAACAGAGCAGCUCCUCUCUGUUUUUCCUGAACCACUACACUUUUUUUCCUGGACCUCUGCAAGUGACAACAGCAAGCGUCUGGAUUCUCCACUGCUACCGAUGCAACUUGCAGUACAAUUUUGCAUAUUUAUGCAGGUUUAUAUGAGGCACCAAGCCAUGACCUGAGUCGUGUGCUGGCCAUGAUCUCAAGAUGUGCACACGACAGUAAGUAUUCUAGCAACAUCGAUUACUUGAAGACAGAGUAUACAUUGACAGAACUUACAAUAUUACUUGAAGACAGUGGACACUGACAGAAUUUCAUCCUCCAGCUGCGGAGCUUGGCAGGGGCGGCGGCGCUGUGAGGUGCAGCCCAUGGGGAAGGUGAGGGGCGGCCGGAUCCGCGGGUGCUGGCAACGGACGACGGCAUGGUCGGGCGCUCGGUGAGGCAGAGGCGCGGGGGCACAACUGCGUAGGGAGGCUGCCGGUAGGUUCGAUUUGGAAAUCGAGGAGAGGACUGGGUGGAUGGAUUUUUGGAUCUGGGGGAUCCUGAUGGGAGGAGGGUAGGCGGUGGUGGCGCUCGGCGGCGGGGUGUGUCCGGCGGCGCGCGGUGAGGGCAGGGUAGGAGGUGGUGUUGCGCUGCCGGUGGAGAUGUGAUUGGGAAGCCGGGACGUGCGUGGCUGGGCAAUUCUUUUUCUCUCCCGUACCGGUUCGGCUGACUUACCAUGAAGACUGCGGGUGGAAUACCUAAACGGCAAAUUUGAUAAUUUGCCACCCCUUACCUCCCCCUUUCAUAAUUUGCCCUCCCCUUGAGAAUGACAGGUGGGGUUCGGGCCCGCCUGUCAUUGAGAUAAUGGGUGACAAAUUAUGAAAAAAGGAAGUAAGGGGUGGCAAAUUAUCAAAUCGCUCUACCUAAACGGAGAGGACUUUACGAACAUGCUAUUAGUACCACCUUGUUUAUAUUACGAUUUUGUUUAUAUACGAAUCGUAAAAGCGUAUUAUGACAUGAGAAGAAAGUGUAUUGUGACGGUGAACUCGACAAAGUCAAUCCGUGCUUUAUUAGUCAAAAAAAUUCGUGCUUUAUUAUUAGGGAGAGACUAGCACAAAUGUCCGUGCAUUGCAACCGGCGUAGACUCACAAAAUCAUAUCCAUGUGCUAUUAUGCACAUAGCAAAAGUGCCCGUGCGUUGCAACAAUACAAAAUAACUAACAAUCUAUCCCUAAUAAUAAAGCAUGGAUUGACUCCGUGGGUUCACCGUCACAAUACGCUUUCUUCUCAUGUCAUAAUAUGCUUUUAUAAUUUCUAUGGACAAAAUAGUAAUAUAAAUAAGGUGGUACUAAUCUACCGUCCGACGCCCGUCUCAAAGUCCAAACAUAACUCCUCCUUCCCCCGCCGUCUUUUAUGCCAACGCAUCCUACCCUCCUCUUGAAACAGGCCCGCACGAAUCCUUCCUCCCUCGCAUGUCCGUCGCCGCCGCCGCCAGCACCGGCCACCUAGCCCCAGGCGCGGGACAGAUCUAGGAAUCAGGAGGGGAUGGACGGAGUAUGGCGAACAGGCCGACGGGGAUGUGCUCUCUCCUCCCGCUACCAAGGCCCGUGGGCGGGGCGCCCGACCUCUAGACGACGGUGGCGAUAACCAAGGACGGAUGUGCAUCCUGGCAUGUCAACUCAAGAUGAUCAAGUGAGGUCUGCAUAGGGUGGUGGCUGGCGGGUUGGACGCGCAGAACUUCGGCGGCGGCCGGAUCCAGCAGCUGCUAAUCUCAUGUGGAGGACGCGCAGGGGCGGGCGGUGAGCGAAUUGAAUCUGGGAAUUCACCCAGGGAAGCAACAUAUAAUCUUUUGAUCUUUGUCUUGCCUCCAGUGCAAGUUCAGUUUGUCCAGCAGUGCUCUUGACAAAUUUCUAGAAUGAAGAAUGAAAUACUUGGAGAUAGGCUACCAAUUCGGCAAGAAUAUAUAUGUCAUGGAUCUGUUUAUAACUAUUUUACUGUGCUUAGAUUUGGUCGGCAGGUUUUAGGUUGUACUGCAGCCUAAAUGUGAUCCUGCUUGUUGUUGCUAUGCAUUUUAUAUUUCCAGAUAUACUAUAAUUUCCCCGUUUUUAACCAGUUUGGGGCGUAUAAGAAGAGAAAGUGAAUAACUGAAUGCAAUGGCAGGUGUUGAACUGAGGUUUACACAUUGGUGCACAUGAUGUGUCAAUCAAACAUACUAUAGCCCUCAUAUAAUGGCUGUUGUUGUUUGCAAAGUAAGAAGUGAAUGAUGCAAAGAGAUUUAUGCUGUAGAAGAACUUCCAAGGUAGUCUCCGAAGCCCUUCCAUUGGAAUUUGACAAAAUUCCCAACCACAUAGGUUACACACAAUUUAAGCCUCCAUGGUACUAAAAAUGCCAUGUCUGUUGGUCCUUUGUUUAGAAAUGUUUUAGUCACAUAUUCUUAUGUAAUUACGGUAUGACAAAAAUAGCACUUCAGGCCCUUAUUAACCGUGUUUCUCCUUUGUUUUGGUCUUCUCUUAAUUUGUUUGUUUGCUUAAGGAUACCCCUAAUUUUCUAAAAAAAUGCAUGUGAGUAAAGAUUACAGUGGCUCAAAUAGCAUGUAGAUUUAAUAAACCGAAUAAUUGAUUGUUGGUGUUGUUUCUAGCGUAUCACAUAUAGUAGCAGAGACUCAGCAUGGGGGUCUGCCGCUUGAAGAGAUGCAAAUGUUGCAACUUCACCAGAGGUUCUAUGUUGGAGUUCUGUGUGUCGGUGGUUCAAGGUUCUUUCCCUUAUUCUAUUUUUCUCUCUGCAGUUUUUGUGUAAUGUAUGAUUUAUUCGUUCUAAAAGUUGUAUG